AUGGGGUCUAAGUCAUCUUCCCCCGUUAUCCUGACACCACUGUUGCCCCAGGCCUGGGCUGAGGCCAGUGGUGCCUAUACUCCCGGGAAGGAUAAGCCCGACUUGCCAACCUGGAAGAGGAAUUUCCGGUCCGCCCUGAACCGGAAGGAAGUGGUGCGUGUAGCAGAAGACCGGAGCAAGGACCCUCACGACCACAGGCAGCCCUCAGGCCUCGCUGUGGCCCCUGAGCCCCACCCUCAGCUCUUGCUGAGCCCCAGCUUGGACAGUCCCGCUCCCCACCCAAACCCGGAGCUCCCUGAAAACCCACUGAGGCGGCUGCUGGUGCCGGAGGAAGAGUGGGAGUUCGAGGUGACAGCCUUCUACCGGGGCCGCCAAGUCUUCCAGCAGACCAUCUCGUGCCCAGGGGGCCUGCGGCUGGUGGGGUCUGAAGCAGUAGACAGGAUGCUCCCUGGGCAGCCAAUAACACUGCCAGACCCUGGGCUGUCCCUGACAGACAGGGGAGUGAGGGGCUACGUGAGGCGUGUGCUGAGCUGCCUGGGGGGGGGCCUGGCUCUACGGCGGGCCGGGCAGCGGCUCUGGGCCCAGCGACUGGGGCACUGCCACACGUACUGGGCCGUGGGCGAGGAGCUGCUCCCCAACAGCGGGCAUGGGCCUGAUGGUGAGGUCCCAAAGGACAAGGAAGGAGGCGUGUUCGACCUGGGGCCCUUCGUGGCAGAUCUGAUUACCUUCAUCGAAGGAGGCAGAUGCUCACCACGCUACACCCUCUGGUUCUGCAUCGGAGAGCCAUGGCCCCAGGACCAGCCAUGGACCAAGAAGCUCGUGAUGGUUAAGGUGGUUCCCACGUGCCUCAGGGCCCUGUUAGACAUGGCCCGGUCAGGGGGCGCCUCCUCACUGGAGAACACCGUGGACCUGCACAUUUCCAACAGCCACCCACUCUCCCUCACCUCCGACCAGUGCAAGGCCUACCUACAGGACCUGGUUGAGGACAUGGAUUUCUAGGUCCCUGGGGCAGCCUGAGCCCUUGAUCCUCACGGGUGCAGGCCCCUAACACUCAUCCUUGACCAAUAAACUGGUUCCUACUGUG